CCUACGGGAGGCAGCAGUGAGGAAUAUUGGUCAAUGGGCGGGAGCCUGAACCAGCCAAGCCGCGUGAGGGAAGAAGGUACAGCGUAUCGUAAACCUCUUUUGUCAGGGAACAAAGGCGGGGACUAGUCCCCGGAUGAGGGUACCUGAAGAAAAAGCAUCGGCUAACUCCGUGCCAGCAGCCGCGGUAAUACGGAGGAUGCGCGCGUUAUCCGGCUUUAUGGGGUUUAAAGGGUGCGCAGGCGGCCUGUUAAGUCAGCGGUAAAAGCCCGGGGCUCAACCCCGGCGAGCCGUUGAAACUGGCGGGCUGGAGUUGGAGAGAAGUACGCGGAAUGCCUAGUGUAGCGGUGAAAUGCGUAGAUAUUAGGAGGAACACCGGUGGCGAAGGCGGCCUGCUGGACUGUGACUGACGUUGAGGCCCGAAGGCGUGGGGAGCAAACAGGAUUAGAUACCCCAGUAGUC
rnacentral:rRNA from 1 species